AACGAACGCUGGCGGCAGGCUUAACACAUGCAAGUCGAGCGAGACCUUCGGGUCUAGCGGCGGACGGGUGAGUAACGCGUGGGAACGUUCCCUUCUCUACGGAAUAGCCCCGGGAAACGGGGAGUAAUACCGUAUACGCCCUUUGGGGGAAAGAUUUAUCGGAGAAGGAUCGGCCCGCGUUGGAUUAGGUAGUUGGUGGGGUAAUGGCCCACCAAGCCGACGAUCCCUAGCUGGUUUGAGAGGAUGAUCAGCCACACUGGGACUGAGACACGGCCCAGACUCCUACGGGAGGCAGCAGUGGGGAAUCUUAGACAAUGGGGGCAACCCUGAUCUAGCCCUGCCGCGUGAGUGAUGAAGGCCUUAGGGUUGUAAAGCUCUUUCAGCUGGGAAGAUAAUGACGGUACCAGCAGAAGAAGCCCCGGCUAACUCCGUG
rnacentral:rRNA from 1 species